rnacentral:rRNA from 1 species
CCUACGGGCGGCUGCAGUGGGGAAUAUUGGACAAUGGGCGAAAGCCUGAUCCAGCCAUGCCGCGUGUGUGAAGAAGGCCUUCGGGUUGUAAAGCACUUUCAGUGGGGAAGAAAGCCUUGGGGCUAAUACCCUCGAGGAAGGACAUCACCCACAGAAGAAGCACCGGCUAACUCCGUGCCAGCAGCCGCGGUAAUACGGAGGGUGCGAGCGUUAAUCGGAAUUACUGGGCGUAAAGCGCGCGUAGGCGGUCUGAUAAGCCGGUUGUGAAAGCCCCGGGCUCAACCUGGGAACGGCAUCCGGAACUGUCAGGCUAGAGUGCAGGAGAGGAAGGUAGAAUUCCCGGUGUAGCGGUGAAAUGCGUAGAGAUCGGGAGGAAUAUCAGUGGCGAAGGCGGCCUUCUGGACUGACACUGACGCUGAGGUGCGAAAGCGUGGGUAGCAAACAGGAUUAGAUACCCCAGUAGUC